GGAGCGACNCCGCGUGAGUGAUGAAGGCUUUCGAGUCGUAAAGCUCUGUCCUCAGGGAAGAACAUCCCGGUUGGAAAUACCUACCGGGCUUGACGGUACCUGAGAAGAAAGCUCCGGCUAACUACGUGCCAGCAGCCGCGGUAAUACGUAGGGAGCAAGCGUUGUCCGGAAUCAUUGGGCGUAAAGGGUGCGCAGGCGGUCUGGCAAGUCAAGUGUGAAAUGUAUCGGCUUAACCGAUACACUGCGCUUGAAACUGUCAGACUUGAGGGCAAGAGAAGAGAGCGGAAUUCCUAGUGUAGCGGUGAAAUGCGUAGAUAUUAGGAAGAACACCAGUGGCGAAAGCGGCUCUCUGGCUUGACCCUGACGCUGAGGCACGAAAGCUAGGGGAGCGAACGGGAUUAGAUACCCCGGUAGUCCUAGCUGUAAACGCUGGAUACUAGGUGUUGGGGGUUCAACUCCCUCAGUGCUGCAGUUAACGCGUUAAGUAUCCCGCCUGGGGAUUACGACCGCAAGGUUGAAACUCAAAGGAAUUGACGGGGGCCUGCACAAGCGGCGGAGCAUGUGGUUUAAUUCGAAGCAACGCGCAGAACCUUACCAGGGCUUGACAUCCCGUGACUAUCUGUCAACAGCAGAAUCUGGCUCUUUGAGUCACACGGUGACAGGUGGUGCAUGGCUGUCGUCAGCUCGUGUCGUGAGAUGUUGGGUUAAGUCCCGCAACGAGCGCAACCCCUAUCCUUAGUUGCCAGCAUUAAGUUGGGGACUCUAGGGAGACUGCCAGUCAAAAAACUGGAGGAAGGUGGGGAUGACGUCAAGUCAUCAUGCCCCUUAUGCUCUGGGCUACACACGUGCUACAAUGGCCUGUACAGGAGGCUGCUACACCGUAAGGUGGAGCUAAUCCUCAAAACAGGUCCCAGUUCGGAUUGCAGGCUGCAACUCNCCUGUAUGAAGCUGGANUCGCUAGUAAUCNCGGAUCANAAUGUCGCGGUGAAUUCGUUCCCAGGCCUUGUA
rnacentral:rRNA from 1 species